rnacentral:rRNA from 1 species
GCCAUGCAUGUCUAAGUAUAAGCGAACUUAUACAGUGAAACUGCGGAUGGCUCAUUAAAACAGUUUGAAUUUAUUUGAUGAAUGUAUGAGAAUACUACUUGGAUAACCGUAGUAAUUCUAGAGCUAAUACAUGCAACGACGCCCGACCGUUUCACUACGGAAGGGCUGUAUUUAUUGGAUACCAAAACCAUCCUUCCCUCGGGAAGUUUUGUUUGAUGAUUCACAAUAACUGAUCGGAUCGCCACUGUGGUGGCGACAGGUCAUUCAACAUUCUGCCCUAUCAGCUUUCGAUGGUUGUGUAGUGGACAACCAUGGCCAUAACGGGUAACGGAGAAUCAGGGUUCGAUUCCGGAGAAGGAGCUUGAGAAUUGGCUACUACAUCUAAGGAAGGCAGCAGGCGCGCAAAUUACCCAAUCCCGAUUCGGGGAGGUAGUGACAAAAAAUAACAAUACCGGGCCUUUUUGGGCUUGGUAAUUGGAAUGAGGGAGAGUUAAACGGACCAUCGAGUAUCCAUUGGAGGGCAAGUCUGGUGCCAGCAGCUGCGGUAAUACCAGCUCCAAUAGCGUAUAUUAAAGUUGUUGCAGUUAAAAAGCUCGUAGUUGGACUUGUGUGCGCUGUCCGCGGGUGGCCUGCGCCCAAAAGGGCGUUUCGGUUCGGCCCCGGUGGCGCCUUGAAAUCUGCAGCUGGGGGGACGUUGGCCUUAACUGGUCGGCGACCGCACGCCGGCUGCUCGGUUACUGUGAGAAAAUUAGAGUGUUCAAGGCAGGCAUUGGGUGCAAUUGAAUACAUUAGCAUGGAAUAAUAAAAUAUGGCUCCUGCCGUAUUUUGUUGGUUUUGACUGGUGGGAGUAAUGAUUGAUAGGGACGGUUGGGGGUGCUAGUAUUGAGCGGCCAGAGGCGAAAUUCAUGGAUUCGCUCAAGACUAACUUAUGCGAAAGCAUUCACCAAGGACGUCCUCUUUAAUCAAGAACGAAAGUUGGGGGAUCGAAGACGAUCAGAUACCGUCGUAGUCUCAACCAUAAACUAUGACGACUUGGGAUCGGCGGUAGUUUUUUCAUUAAGACACUGUCGGGACCACGGGAGAAAUCAAAGUGUCUGGACUCUGGGGGAAGUAUGGUCGCAAGGCUGAAACUUGAAGGAAUUGACGGAAGGGCACCACCAGGAGUGGAGCCUGCGGCUUAAUUUGACCCAACACGGGGAAACUUACCAGGUCCAGAGAUGUAGAGGAUUGACAGAUUGAAGCUCUUUCUUGAUCACUUCGGUGGUGGUGCAUGGCC